rnacentral:ncRNA from 2 species
CAAGAUUCUCGGGGUAAGGUGAAAUUCCUGACCGGCGGUGAUGUUCAAAGCGAACUCAGCCCGCGACUCCUUCUCGCUGUCAGCAGCGGAAAGGACUGAUCUGGUGACAUUCCAGAGCCGACGGUAAAGUCCGGAUGGGAGAGGAUCAUA